CCGCCGUCGCAUUUGAACCGGCAAUUGUUUUUUUUUCGUUUGUUGUCAUUUUCGUUUUUAAUGGCGGCCUGCUGUCAUUUAAAAUGAAUAAAUAUAUUACUUUUGGAAAAGGGCCGACUGCUCGUGAAGAGAACGAUGGAAUUUAUAGAUUCGGCUGGGAAACUUGUCGAGAAAACUUUUUUGCUUUUUUAGAUAAACUGACACGAGAGUUUGGUACCUUCUCAAACAGGCAUAAUUUCAAUCUAAUUAAUUGUAUCUGAGACUUUUUUACCAGAUUAUUUUACUAACAGGGAGCCCUCUUUUUGCCAUAGCAAAACUGUUGGCAACUGGUCUAGUAAAUCUGAACAGGGUAGAAGUUCUUUGGCGUCCUGUAACAAAUCACCUGCUGGAAGUCAUCAUCCACCUGCUUAACCACUUGAGAGAAUGGGGAAUAGAUGUCAAAUUACUAUGUUAUUUAGAUCAGCAAUUCAAUAUGAAUAUUCUACCCCUUUAAAAGAAAACCAGAGAUUGCAGACGUUGUUAAUAUCGUCAUAAAAUGAGCUGUCUAGUACCAGUUUUGCAGACGUGCGGCAAAAGCAAGUUGAUUGUGGGCUCUAUUUGCUGCACAGCUCUGGUGACAUAAUCUUUUUUGGAUGGUCUUAAUAUCAUAGGAGCUAUCAACAAUUCUCAAGAGUAACAAUGAACAUGGCAUUCUUUGUCGUUGAGGCUAAUUUCUUUCUUAUUUUGCAUUGCUUGGAUUUUUCUUUGAAAUAACUGAAACAAUUUGUAUAGUUUAAUGUGUGUUGUGGACAAUAAAUGAUGCACUUUCAUUUCCAUAAA
rnacentral:lncRNA from 1 species